AGGUCUGACCUGGGACUAGAAGCUCUAUUUAACCUUGAGGAGGGGUAAGACUCACUGGCCAAUCAAGGCCCCCAGGCGGACCUGUCAGUCAGACAGAGAGGGUUGUUCCGGAUAACUUGCUGCAGGUUUGUUUUGGAGUGCAGGAGUGAAUAGUCCUUUCUGUCCUGCUUUGAGUACUGCUGUUGGGUGCCAUGGGGGGACCUUAAGCAAGCUCUGAAGUUGAGACAUGGGCUGCACGGGACGAAGAUAGAGGAGGCUCUAGGAGGACAGGCACAAAGGCUACCCGAAUGCAAAGCACUCCCGAGAUCUGUAAAAGGACUGGCCCCGGACAGGAAGCACACUUUAAACUAGAGGAGGGUUUGUUUUUGCUCUGCAGGAUUAAACAGUUCUCUGUAUCCUGCUUUGAGCGCUGCUGUUGGGUGCUGUGAGGGGACCUCAAGUAAGCUCCAUUUUUGAAACAUGGUAAGCACAUGGUUACUGUCUAUAAUGGAUAGGGGCAGGUGGCUGAGCAGUGGGAACUGAGGUGGUGGGUCCUCUCUUGGGCUGGAUGGGGAGCCUCAGCCAGAUGUAACCCAAUGUGGCCAAUUGUGUGUUCCUUUGUGAUGCUCCUCACUUGCUAAAACAGGCGGUGAACUCUGAAUAACAUCAGUAUCAGGGCUGAAUCAGCUCAAAACAUUAGGAUUAGAGGCUUGCUUGUAGAAAUAUCACGGGCAGGAUGCCAAACUUGUAGAGCCCUGGUUUCUCUUGAGUCUUCUGUAAGUUUUGCCCCUAGCAUUUACCUAUUAAGUAUAAGAUCCAUUUGUAGUUAAUUUUGUGGAGCUGUUAAAAGGCAUCUCAUGUGUUGGGUAGCACUCCCAUAUUAAUUGAGAUGUAGAAGAGUAGAAUUGAUGAUGUAAAGGGUUUACCAAGCUUAGGAAAUAGUGACAGUAAGUAG
rnacentral:lncRNA from 1 species